rnacentral:sRNA from 1 species
AGCAUUGAAGCAGAUGAUGGGGUUAGUUUUCCGCACAUCUGUGGAGCUUUGGAAAGGGUUCAAGACAUAUCCACAGACUAACUCAGGCUUAUGCUGAAAGAAAAUGUCUU